AUGUAGAACUGUAAGACCCCCUUUCGGGGACCCCCUACUCUAGUCUUGGGAGAGAGAGCGCACCCAAAGAAACAGGAGAAUCC
rnacentral:pre_miRNA from 7 species